GUCGUUUCAAGCCGAAUGAAGCGGGCCAAAACGGCGCCGUUUCAUUUGGGUAUUUAAACCAAAAUUAAAAAAAAAUCAUUUUAGCCCCAUUCUUUAAAAAAAACUGAAAACUUUUCAGUUCUCUCUCACCCUCUUCCCCUUUCCGACCGUCGGGCUUCCAGGCCUUCGCCGCACUGCCGGAGUCGCGGGAGAUGGUUUUUUAACCCUGGCUUUCGGCACGCAUAAAGGCGGUG
rnacentral:lncRNA from 1 species